rnacentral:tRNA from 1 species
UGCGGGGUAGAGCAGCCUGGUAGCUCGCAAGGCUCAUAACCUUGAGUGUCGCUGGUUCAAAUCCAGCUCCCGCAACCA